rfam:Picea glauca, whole genome shotgun sequence.
AUGUACAUUCAUACAACAUAGCAUUAAUGCACCGGAUCCCAUUAGAACUCCACAUUUAAGUGCACUCAAGCUAGAGUAGUACUGGGAUGGGUGACCACUUGGGAAGUACUAGUGUUUUACAUG